UACGUAGGGUGCAAGCGUUAAUCGGAAUUACUGGGCGUAAAGCGUGCGCAGGCGGUUAUGUAAGACAGGUGUGAAAUCCCCGGGCUUAACCUGGGAACUGCAUUUGUGACUGCAUAGCUAGAGUACGGUAGAGGGGGAUGGAAUUCCGCGUGUAGCAGUGAAAUGCGUAGAUAUGCGGAGGAACACCGAUGGCGAAGGCAGUCCCCUGGGCCUGCACUGACGCUCAUGCACGAAAGCGUUGGGAGCAAACAGG
rnacentral:rRNA from 1 species